AGGAACUGCACAGCAGGACCACAUAUCAUUAAAGCAGCCACUCUGGGCAAUGGAAACUUUGUGGUUUUGUCCAGUUUGUGAUACCACUCCAGUCUUAAGCAUCAACAGUAGAAGAAAACAGCAGAGAUUGAGGCCAGUUGACUGAAAUUUGGAGAGGGAAAGAAGAAACCAAGAAAACACAAAUGCUUCUAAUGAACCAUAAAGAACCAUAUGCCCAGCUGCAAAAGCAAGGAAGCCAUAAAACCAGCAUUACUUUAGGACAGCGCUCAAGGGACUUGUUGCCA